CAUGGAGAAGCCGUGGAGCUACCACCAGAGUCAGACAUGCUGGAACCUUGCUGGAUUCAGUUGCUGUUUCCCAUUCCAGCAGAGGCUUGUGAUCUGUGGUCCAUGACUUCUACUGGCAGGUAACAGAUAUUACACCUACUCCAGCUCACAAUCAACCAUAGGAGAAGAAAAACUAUUGAUACCAUUAAAAUUAAUAAAGAUUCACUUUGAAAAGGAGGAAACUCUUGAAAAAAAGAAAUGACAGCUCUUCCACAAUGGUGACAACCAUACAGGAGGAAGAAGAUGGUGCACCAUAGCAACAAAUCCACCUGGUUGAGAUGACAUCAUGAUGCUGAUAGCACUACUAUAAGACCGGUUUUGGGGGGUGCCAGCUGCUGAAAUGGUGCACCUUCUCAUGAUGUUCUGGCCAGAAAUCUAAAUCUCUUUUCUGGCUGCAAAAUUCAGUUGCUAUUCCCCAUUCCAGCAGAGGAUUGUGAUCUGGAUCAAAAUACCUUGUCAGGCUUGGAGGUAAACAUCACUUUCCACUGGGGCAUCUACCUGGCUCCACUUUAAAGCUUUUAAUCUAAGUUUCUAGAGAGUCAGUUUCCCCAGGGAGUUGGACCUUCCUCAUAAGUUUUAGAAUGAAGAUUGCCGGGAGGUAGCUUGAUCCUCUUAGAGCUGCUGACAACCCAAGCUGGCUUGUAUCACAAUCCCUCUGCUGAGCCACGUUUUGUUCAUGAGGCAGACAACCACUACGUGUAAUGAAGCAUCUAUGGGUUCCCAACAAUGAGACCAUCAGUCAA